UACGUAGGGUGCAAGCGUUGUCCGGAAUUAUUGGGCGUAAAGAGCUCGUAGGCGGUGUGUCGCGUCGGCCGUGAAAACCUGGGGCUUAACUCUGGGCGUGCGGUCGAUACGGGCAUCACUAGAGUUCGGCAGGGGAGACUGGAAUUCCUGGUGUAGCGGUGAAAUGCGCAGAUAUCAGGAGGAACACCGGUGGCGAAGGCGGGGUCUCUGGGCCGAUACUGACGCUGAGGAGCGAAAGCAUGGGGUAGCGAACAGG
rnacentral:rRNA from 1 species